AUGUUGAAGAAAAAGCUCGGGCUAAAGAUACUACUGAAAAAGGAGUAUUUCAAUCAUCUUCGUGGUGGAUUGAUUCGGGUCGCAAGGGAUUCUUCCGUCCUAAUGGGGAAUGGGUCACAUGCUUCUGUUCGUGGCAUUGGCACGGUGGCUGAAGUUGAAAAUCAACUAGAGAGAAAGAUCAAGCGUCUUAGGUCCGAUCGUGGUGGAGAGUAUUUUCCAAAAGUUGUUGAUGAAUUUUUUGAGGAACAUGGUAUUAUUCAUGAGAGGACGCCUCCCUAUUCACCUCAAUCAAAUGGAGUGGCCGAGAGGAAAAACCGCACAUUGACUGACUUGGUGAAUGCCAUGUUAGACACUGUUGGUUUAUCUAAGGCAUGGUGGGGGGAGGCUCUAUUGACUUCAUGUCAUGUCCUGAAUAGAGUUCCCAACAAUAAUAAGGAGAAAACCCCUUAUGAGGAGUGGGUUGGGAGAAAACCAUCACUUUCUUAUUUGCACACUUGGGGAUGUUUGGCAAAGGUCAAUAUUCCUAUUCCUAAGAAACGCAAACUUGGACCAAAGACAGUGGAUUGUGUCUUUCUAGGGUAUGCUCAACGGAGCAUUGCUUAUAGGUUUUUAGUGGUAAAAUCUGAAGUACCUGAUAUGCAUGUUGAUACUAUAAUGGAAUCUCGUGAUGCAACAUUUUUUGAGAACAUAUUUCCUAUGAAAGAUAUGCAUAGCAUUGCUAGAUUUUCUUCUGAGAUAAUUCCUGAAUCUAGUACAACUGAUGAAUAUUUUGAACAAUCACAUGAGGAAGUCUUUGAGAAGGAUAACAAUGAAGUUCCUAGAAGGAACAAGAGACAAAGGAUUGCAAAAUCCUUUGGUGAUGAUUUCAUUGUAUACCUUGUGGACGACACACCCAAGACGAUUGCAGAAGCAUAUGCAUCUCCGGAUGUAGAUGAUUGGAAAGGAGCUGUUCAUAAUGAGAUGGACUCAAUUCUUUCUAAUGGAACUUGGGAACUAACUGAUAGACCAUAUGGUUGUAAACCUGUGGGCUGUAAGUGGGUGUUCAAAAAGAAGCUAAAGCCUGAUGGUACUAUUGAUAAGUACAAGGCGCGGCUAGUGGCCAAGGGCUACACUCAGAAAGAAGGCGAAGAUUACUUUGACACCUAUUCACCUGUUGCUAGAAUGACCACCAUUCGAGUGUUACUUUCCUUGGCUGCCUCUUAUGGUCUUAUCAUUCAUCAAAUGGAUGUAAAGACAGCUUUUCUCAAUGGAGAGUUGGAAGAGGAGAUCUAUAUGGAUCAGCCUGACGGGUUUGUGGUAAAGGGUGAAGAGAGAAAGGUGUGCAAGUUGUUAAAAUCUUUGUAUGGUCUGAAACAGGCACCUAAGCAAUGGCAUGAGAAGUUUGAAAGAACUCUGACUUCUGCAGGAUUUGUCAUUAACGAGGCUGAUAGGUGUGUUUACUAUCGCCAUGGUGGGGGCAAUAGUGUCAUAUUAUGUUUGUAUGUGGACGACAUACUGAUCUUUGGUACAAACAUUAAUGCAAUUAAUGAGGUCAAGUCUUUUCUAUCAAAAAGUUUUGACAUGAAAGAUCUGGGAGAAGCCGAUGUAAUUCUAAACAUCAAACUUAUUAAGGAUGAGAGUGGGAUUACAUUAACGCAAUCUCACUAUGUUGAGAAGGUCUUGAACCGAUUCGGUUUUAUGGAUAGCAAGCCUUCUCCAACACCUUAUGAUCCCAGCGUGACACUCAGAAAGAACAAGAAAGAAACGAGAGAUCAAUUAAGGUACUCUCAAAUUGUCGGUUCACUCAUGUACUUAGCUAGCGCUACAAGACCAGAUAUCUCUUUUGCUGUGAGCAAACUGAGUAGGUUCAUGUCCAACCCGGGUGAUGAUCAUUGGCAUGCACUAGAAAGGGUCUUGCGCUAUCUGAGAGGUACUAUGAGUUACGGAAUUACUUAUUCAGGGCAUCCUGCUGUGCUAGAAGGAUAUAGUGAUUCAAAUUGGAUCUCCGAUGUUGAUGUACUUUACGCAACAAGUGGGUAUGUAUUUACUCAUGGUGGUGGCGCAGUGUCAUGGAGGUCUUGCAAGCAAACCAUAUUGACGAGGUCAACUAUGGAAGCAAAAUAA
rnacentral:rRNA from 1 species